UACGUAGGUGGCGAGCGUUGUCCGGAAUUACUGGGUGUAAAGCGCGUGUAGGCGGGAGGCCAAGUCUGCGGUGAAAUCGCUCGGCUCAACUGGGCGGGGUCCGUGGAAACUGGUCACCUGGAGUCCGGAAGAGGUGGGUGGAAUUCCUAGUGUAGAGGUGAAAUUCGUAGAUAUUAGGAAGAACACCGGUGGCGAAGGCGGCCCACUGGUCCGGUACUGACGCUGAGGUGCGAAAGCGUGGGGAGCAAACAGG
rnacentral:rRNA from 1 species